UUCCGGUUGAUCCUGCCGGACCCCACUGCUAUCGGGAUGGGACUAAGACAUGCUAGUCGAGCGUCUCUAAGCUAUGGAAGAGACGCGGCACACAGCUCAGUAACACGUGGCUAACCUGCCCUUGGGACAAGGACAACUCCGGGAAACUGGGGCUAAUCCCUGAUAGGUGAGAACUCCUGGAAUGGAUUCUCGCUGAAAGGACGUUUAGACCAUGCUUCUAGGCGUCGCCCAAGGAGGGGGCCGCGACCGAUCAGGUUGUUGGUGAGGUAACGGCUCACCAAGCCUUUAACCGGUACGGGCCGUGAGAGCGGAAGCCCGGAGAUGGGCACUGAGACAAGGGCCCAGGCCCUACGGGGCGCAGCAGUCGCGAAAACUCCGCAAUACACGAAAGUGUGACGGGGCUAUCCCGAGUGCCAUCCGCUGAGGAUGGCUUUUCCCCAGUGUAUAAAGCUGGGGGAAUAAGGAGAGGGCAAGCCUGGUGUCAGCCGCCGCGGUAAUACCAGCUCUCCGAGUGGUGGGGAUGUUUAUUGGGCCUAAAGCAUUCGUAGCCUGCUUGGCAAGUCCUCCGUUAAAUCCAACGAUUCAAUCGUUGGGCUGCGGGGGAUACUGUCCGGCUAGGGGGCGGGAGAGGCCGACGGUAUCCCCGGGGUAGGGGUGAAAUCCUAUAAUCCCGGGAGGACCACCAGUGGCGAAGGCUGUCGGCUAGAACGCGCUCGACGGUGAGGGAUGAAAGCUGGGGGAGCGAACCGGAUUAGAUACCCGGGUAGUCCCAGCUGUAAACGAUGCAGGCUAGGUGUUGGCGCGGCUACGUGCCGCUCCAGUGCCGCAGGGAAGCCGUUAAGCCUGCCGCCUGGGAAGUACGGCCGCAAGGCUGAAACUUAAAGGAAUUGGCGGGGGAGCACCACAAGGUGUGAAGCUUGCGGUUUAAUUGGAAUCAACGCCGU
rnacentral:rRNA from 1 species